rnacentral:rRNA from 1 species
GAUGAACGCUGGCGGCGUGCCUAAUACAUGCAAGUCGAGCGAACAGACGAGGAGCUUGCUCCUCUGACGUUAGCGGCGGACGGGUGAGUAACACGUGGAUAACCUACCUAUAAGACUGGGAUAACUUCGGGAAACCGGAGCUAAUACCGGAUAAUAUAUUGAACCGCAUGGUUCAAUAGUGAAAGACGGUUUUGCUGUCACUUAUAGAUGGAUCCGCGCCGCAUUAGCUAGUUGGUAAGGAAACGGCUUACCAAGGCAACGAUGCGUAGCCGACCUGAGAGGGUGAUCGGCCACACUGGAACUGAGACACGGUCCAGACUCCUACGGGAGGCAGCAGUAGGGAAUCUUCCGCAAUGGGCGAAAGCUUGACGGAGCAACGCCGCGUGAGUGAUGAAGGUCUUCGGAUCGUAAAACUCUGUUAUUAGGGAAGAACAAAUGUGUAAGUAACUAUGCACGUCUUGACGGUACCUAAUCAGAAAGCCACGGCUAACUACGU